UAACUGCGAGUGAAGCGGCAAAAGCUCAAAUUUGAAAUCUGUGCCCUUCCGGGCACAGAGUUGUAAUUUUGAGAUACGUUUUCGACCGACAGGCCUGCCUUAAGUCCCUUGGAACAGGGCGUCGCAGAGGGUGAGAAUCCCGUGAACGGUAGGCCUCGAGGCGCAUGAUACGUAUUCAACGAGUCGAGUUGUUUGGGAAUGCAGCUCAAAAUGGGUGGUAAAUUUCAUCUAAAGCUAAAUAUUGGGGAGAGACCGAUAGCGCACAAGUAGAGUGAUCGAAAGAUGAAAAGCACUUUGAAAAGAGAGUUAAAAAGUACGUGAAAUUGUUGAAAGGGAAGCGCUUGAGACCAGACUCAAUCUUUGUUGAUCAACUUCAGUUCUCUGUUGUGCACUCUUCAAUCUUUGGGACAGCAUCGGUUCUUGCGGAGGGACAAAGCCUCGGGAAAUGUGGCACUCUUCGGGGUGUGUUAUAGUCCCUGGGGGAAUGCCUCCAGCAGGUGGCGCGGUCCGCGCUCAAGCUACGUUCGC
rnacentral:rRNA from 1 species